CCUACGGGAGGCAGCAGUGAGGAAUAUUGGUCAAUGGGCGGAAGCCUGAACCAGCCAAGUAGCGUGCAGGAUGACGGCCCUACGGGUUGUAAACUGCUUUUAUACGGGAAUAACGCGCCUUACGUGUAGGGCUUUGCAUGUACCGUAUGAAUAAGGACCGGCUAAUUCCUUGCCAGCAGCGGCGGUACUACGGAAGGUCCGUGCGUUAUCCGGUUUUCUUGGGUUUAAAGUAGCGUAGGCCGCAUGUCAAGCGUGCUGUGAAAUGUCCGGGCUAAACCCGGGCCUUGCAGCGCGAACGGGCGUGCUUGAGUCCGCGGAAAGCAGGCGGAAUUCGGCGUGUAGCGGUGAAAUGCUUAGAUAUGACGAAGAACCACGAGUGCGAAGGCAGCUUGCUGCAGCGGAACUGACGCUGAUGCUCGAAAGCGCGGGUAUCGAACAGGAUUAGAUAACCGAGUAGUC
rnacentral:rRNA from 1 species